CUCCUGCAGCUGCCGGGCCUCCUGCAGCCUCUGCUCCAGUUCCCCCGCCUGGGAAGGACCAGAAGCACAGGGAUGGCUUCACUGAAGGGCAGGCGGCCCCAGUCCCGGAUGGGGAAGGCGGAAGCCCCUCACUCAAGGCUCCCUGGAAGCCCUGCAGCUCGCCGUGGAGACGAAGCAGUUCUGACCGGUAGAGGUGCAGCUCCUGGGUCCACCGGGAGAGAUCAAGCAAGAACCAGGAGGAAUUUAUCCGAACACUACAGGAGUUGCACCCCCUGCCUCCCUGCUUACUGACGGAAUCGGGAUCCAGGGCCGAGACGAGGUUCCCGUCGAGGGACGGUUUCGCCAACGGUUCGACGGGCUGCGUGGCCCUCUCUGCCUGCUGGUCCCCUUUUCCUUGCCAGACCUUGGC